GACGAACGCUGGCGGCGUGCCUAACACAUGCAAGUUGAGCGACGAACCAGGGCUUGCCCUGGGGCAAAGCAGCGAACGGGUGAGUAACACGUGGGUAACCUACCCCGAUAACCGGGACAACCCGAGGAAACUCGGGCUAAUACCGGAUGUGCUCACUGGACUUCGGUUCAGUGCGUAAAGGAAGCUUCGGCCUCCGUAUCGGGAGGGGCCGCGGCCCAUUAGUUUGUUGGUGAGGUAACGGCUCACCAAGACCGCGAUGGGUAGCUGGUCUGAGAGGACGAUCAGCCACACUGGGACUGAGACACGGCCCAGACUCCUACGGGAGGCAGCAGUGGGGAAUCUUGCGCAAUGCGCGAAAGCGUGACGCAGCAACGCCGCGUGGGGGAAGAAGGCCUUCGGGUUGUAAACCCCUUUCAGGAGGGACGAAGGUUCGGCGGUGAAUAGCCGUCCGGACUGACGGUACCUCCACAAGAAGCCCCGGCUAACUACGUG
rnacentral:rRNA from 1 species